rnacentral:rRNA from 1 species
GAAUUGACGGGGGCCCGCACAAGCAGUGGAGUAUGUGGUUUAAUUCGAAGCAACGCGAAGAACCUUACCAGGGCUUGACAUCCCUCUGACAGGCAUAGAGAUAUGCCCUCUCUUCGGAGCAGAGGAGACAGGUGGUGCAUGGUUGUCGUCAGCUCGUGUCGUGAGAUGUUGGGUUAAGUCCCGCAACGAGCGCAACCCUUACUGUUAGUUGCUACGGAAGAGCACUCUAACAGGACUGCCGUUGACAAAACGGAGGAAGGUGGGGAUGACGUCAAAUCAUCAUGCCCCUUACGCCCUGGGCUACACACGUACUACAAUGGCGCAAACAAAGGGGAGCAAAACCGCGAGGUUGAGCAAAUCCCAAAAAUGCGUCCCAGUUCAGAUUGCAGGCUGCAACCCGCCUGCAUGAAGUCGGAAUUGCUAGUAAUCGCGAAUCAGCAUGUCGCGGUGAAUACGUUCCCGGGCCUUGUACACACCG